GACAAAUACAUAUCAUACACUCAGCAUUAAUUCAAGAAAUGCACUACAAGCAAGAAGAGAAGCCUUAAGUUCUCAACUUCAAUAAACCAGUAACUUAUGCUUUACCUGCUACUUCUGUCAUCAAUACAAAUCUGUACAGUUAAGGGCAAAUAAAACCUACAGAACAUCAUAAGAAACUGUUAAACAUAACAAAUGCCAAGAGACAAAAGAAAUAGCACAAUCCAAGCAGAAACCAUUGCAGGAAAGGAAAUUCCGUGCUCUUUUACUGUAAUAGUUUGAAACUGAAAUUUCAUCUGCUCCGUUGAAUAAACCAUUAAUUUCAAGCUCUACGGAAGAAUUAGUUAACAAAGGGUCAUCUAUGAAAGUCACAUUCAAUGCAACAACACUAUUAACUUGUAGUUGUUUUGGAAGCGACUGCAACAAUGAGUCAAGCUUUAUUAUUCCUUCUUUGAUCUUCUUGAUAAUCGCAUCUUCAACUUCAGACAUGAUUUUCCCUCGAAAAGCAUCAAUGAUCUUGGAUAAUAAGUUGAAUAAAUACAAUAAGUAUCAUAACAGGAAAGAUAAGUAUCUCCGGCAGAACCUAAAGAACAAGAUGGUAAACCUAAAAGAUUCAUGUAUGUGAUUUUUAACUGAUGCAUAAUUUAGUUUUGUAGAAUACUAUUAACAAGUUAUAAAAAAACCCUAUGGUUUAAUGACAGAAUAAUGACUGAUUCUAUGUAUUUGGAGGGUCCUUGAAGGAUCAUUUCCCCAAUCUUACGUCUGAACAUUUGUGGGACGUGGAUGCUUCAAUAAAAAUGAAGAGUUCGAUUGGCAUAGUUGUCCGAAUAGGCAACGAUAGCAUACCCUUGAUAAAGCCAAGAAGCUCCACCAUCUACACUUAUGGAGAUAUCUUUCACAUGACAUUCAUAGUCUGAUAAAAAUAGCUUGAGAGUUCCUUCUUCGUUUAUAACAGUCGCUUUAAGCCACACCACCAUGCCUAGAACCUAUGAACCAG
rnacentral:lncRNA from 1 species